rnacentral:rRNA from 1 species
GGGGUCCGAGUUGUAAUUUGCAGAGGAUGCUUCGGGUGCAGCCCCCGUCUAAGUGCCCUGGAACGGGCCGUCAUAGAGGGUGAGAAUCCCGUCUGGGACGGGGUGUCUGCGUCCGUGUGAAGCUCCUUCGACGAGUCGAGUUGUUUGGGAAUGCAGCUCUAAAUGGGUGGUAAAUUUCAUCUAAAGCUAAAUACUGGCCGGAGACCGAUAGCGCACAAGUAGAGUGAUCGAAAGAUGAAAAGCACUUUGAAAAGAGAGUUAAACAGCACGUGAAAUUGUUGAAAGGGAAGCGCUUGCGACCAGACUCGCCCGCGGGGUUCAGCCGGCCUUCGGGCCGGUGUACUUCCCCGCGGACGGGCCAGCGUCGGUUUGGGCGGCCGGUCAAAGGCCCCGGGAAUGUAUCGCCCUCCGGGGCGUCUUAUAGCCCGGGGUGCAAUGCGGCCUGCCCAGACCGAGGAACGCGCUUCGGCACGGACGCUGGCAUAAUGGUCGUAAGCGACCCGUCUUGAAACACGGACCAAGGAGUCUAACAUCUACGCGAGUGUUCGGGUGUCAAACCCGUGCGCGGAGUGAAAGCAAACGGAGGUGGGAGCCCCUCGGGGCGCACCAUCGACCGAUCCUGAUGUCUUCGGAUGGAUUUGAGUAAGAGCGUAGCUGUGGGGACC